UGGGGAAUAUUGCACAAUGGGCGCAAGCCUGAUGCAGCCAUGCCGCGUGUAUGAAGAAGGCCUUCGGGUUGUAAAGUACUUUCAGCGGGGAGGAAGGGAGUAAAGUUAAUACCUUUGCUCAUUGACGUUACCCGCAGAAGAAGCACCGGCUAACUCCGUGCCAGCAGCCGCGGUAAUACGGAGGGUGCAAGCGUUAAUCGGAAUUACUGGGCGUAAAGCGCACGCAGGCGGUUGAUUGAGUCAGAUGUGAAAUCCCCGGGCUUAACCCGGGAAUUGCAUCUGAUACUGGUCAGCUAGAGUCUUGUAGAGGGGGGUAGAAUUCCAUGUGUAGCGGUGAAAUGCGUAGAGAUGUGGAGGAAUACCGGUGGCGAGGGCGGCCCCCUGGACAAAGACUGACGCUCAGGUGCGAAAGCGUGGGGAGCAAACAGG
rnacentral:rRNA from 1 species